CCCCAAGCGGCUCCUUCAACCCUUGAGAUCUUAAACAAAAUCUCUGGCUUUUCUUCUGACCUGGGAAGGAGGAACUCCGGCUGUGGUGGCCGUGUGCUGUGAACAGAAAGAACCCGUGCUGGUACACCAGGAAUGUGCUGCCACCCAGCGAGGCCAGCAGUCUACCAACUGAGCUAACUGCCAGCUGCUGCCCUUCCAAGCCCAAGCCCGGAAGAUGUGAGUAGCACGGGGCGAGAUUUCUGACCCACAACACCUCCCAUCCCAGCACUGGAGACUGAAGCAUGGAUUCUGAGGUCAGCCUGGGCUACCAAAGAAGACUGUGUUUUAAAAAGAAAAAGAAAAAAAGAAAAUUAAAAUGGACGAACCCUCAAGUGCUUAGAGAGCGGCAGGGGGCCUACUGGGCUCUGCCCACUGCUACAAUGCUUCCUCUUUGAGGUCAAUAGGCUACUACCCAGUCGUUGAAGAGGAGUAUAGCUCUGACACCAUGCCAGCAGUUUAAACUGGAUACAGGAGAACUCGCAUGUAAGAUCCACUUCCAGAAGGUCCCAAGAGCACAGAGAUGGGGUGGGAAGUGAAUGGGCACCUCGAACCCUUGUCCCCAUCCAGGGGUGGGAGGGGAUUAGUGUAGGAUGGGAGCAAAGCAUCUUAGUGCAUUAUGGAAAGCUCUGAAGUGGGGGAGUCCAGUGACUGCUCUGCUGUCCACAGCCGUGGGCUAGGACAGAUAAGGUGGGGACAGGCCAGUGAGAGAAACAAGGGAGACCAGCACACAAGGGCCUCAUACCUGGUUCCUCCAGGCCUGGCAGUCCUGUGGUUGUAUCUGUGUGUGGCCAAGCCAGUGAGACUUAGGGAUAACCUGAGACCCUGGGCAUGGCUGGCAUUGUUUAUACGAAUGUGAAUUCUGGGGUCGCCCUGUUUGUGCUCUGAGCUGAGUAAGGCUCUCAACAUAAAUGAGGGAGGCAGGGCCCAGCAAGAUGGCUCAGCAGGUAAAGGUGCUUGCAGCCAGGUCUUGAUGACCCAAGUUCAAUUCCCAUUUGAUGGAAAGAGAACUGAUUCCACUCAAGUGAUCUCCACAUGUGUAUGCAUGCAUUCACAACAGAUAAAUAAUAGCUAAUAA
rnacentral:lncRNA from 1 species